AGAGUUUGAUCAUGGCUCAGGGUACACGCUGGCGGCGUGCCUAAAACAUGCAAGUCGAACGGGAGCUUCGGCUCCAGUGGCAGACGGCUGAGUAACGCGUGGGUGACACACCCGUUGGUGGGGAAUAACUGCCCGAAAGGGUGGCUAAUACCGCACACGCCCAUUGGUCCAAUCCGAUGGGGAAAGUCGCAAGACGCCGAUGGACUGGCCCGCGUUCGAUUAGCUAGUUGGUGGGGUAACGGCCUACCAAGGCGACGAUCGAUAGCUGGUCUCAGAGGAUGAUCAGCCAGACUGGGACUGAGACACGGCCCAGACUCCUACGGGAGGCAGCAGUUAGGAAUUUUGGGCAAUGGGCGAAAGCCUGACCCAGCAACGCCGCGUGGGUGACGAAGGCCUUCGGGUUGUAAAGCCCUUUUCUGAGGGAAGAUGAUGACGGUACCUCAGGAAUAAGCACCGGCUAACUACGUGCCAGCAGCCGCGGUAAUACGUAGGGUGCAAGCGUUGCCCGGAUUUAUUGGGCGUAAAGGGCGCGUAGGCGGCUCGGAACGUCCGUUGUGAAAUCGCCCGGCUCAACUGGGCGGGGUCGGCGGAUACGGUCGAGCUUGAGCAAGCUAGGGGGCAAUGGAAUUCCCGGUGUAGUGGUGGAAUGCGU
rnacentral:rRNA from 1 species